AACGCACAUUGCGCCCCUUGGUAUUCCAUGGGGCAUGCCUGUUCGAGCGUCAUCUACACCCUCAAGCUCUGCUUGGUGUUGGGCGUCUGUCCCGCCUUCGCGCGUGGACUCGCCCCAAAUUCAUUGGCAGCGGUCUUUGCCUCCUCUCGCGCAGCACAUUGCGCUUCUCGAGGUGCUUGCGAACCGCGUCCACGAAGCAUCAUUACCGUCUUUGACCUCGGAUCAGGUAGGGAUACCCGCUGAACUUAA
rnacentral:misc_RNA from 1 species